CACGUAGGGCGCAAGCGUUGUCCGGAAUUAUUGGGCGUAAAGAGCUCGUAGGCGGUCUGUCGCGUCUGCUGUGAAAACUCAGGGCUUAACCCUGAGCUUGCAGUGGGUACGGGCAGACUAGAGUGUGGUAGGGGAGACUGGAAUUCCUGGUGUAGCGGUGAAAUGCGCAGAUAUCAGGAGGAACACCGAUGGCGAAGGCAGGUCUCUGGGCCACUACUGACGCUGAGAAGCGAAAGCAUGGGGAGCGAACAGG
rnacentral:rRNA from 1 species